rnacentral:rRNA from 1 species
ACGCUGGCGGCGUGCUUAACACAUGCAAGUCGAACGAACCUUCGGGUUAGUGGCGGACGGGUGAGUAACGCGUGAGAAUCUGCCCUCAGGAGGGGGAUAACGGUUGGAAACGACCGCUAAUACCCCAUAUGCCUAUUGGUGAAAUGAAUUUCGCCUGAGGAUGAGCUCGCGUCUGAUUAGCUAGUUGGUGAGGUAAUGGCUCACCAAGGCUUCGAUCAGUAGCUGGUCUGAGAGGAUGAUCAGCCACACUGGGACUGAGACACGGCCCAGACUCCUACGGGAGGCAGCAGUGGGGAAUUUUCCGCAAUGGGCGAAAGCCUGACGGAGCAACGCCGCGUGAGGGACGAAGGCCUCUGGGCUGUAAACCUCUUUUCUCAAGGAAGAAGAUAUGACGGUACUUGAGGAAUAAGCCACGGCUAAUUCCGUGCCAGCAGCCGCGGUAAUACGGGAGUGGCAAGCGUUAUCCGGAAUUAUUGGGCGUAAAGCGUCCGCAGGCGGCUUUUCAAGUCUGCUGUUAAAGCGUGGAGCUUAACUCCAUCAUGGCAGUGGAAACUGAAAGGCUUGAGUAUGGUAGGGGCAGAGGGAAUUCCCGGUGUAGCGGUGAAAUGCGUAGAUAUCGGGAAGAACACCAGUGGCGAAGGCGCUCUGCUGGGCCAUUACUGACGCUCAUGGACGAAAGCCAGGGGAGCGAAAGGGAUUAGAUACCCCUGUAGUCCUGGCCGUAAACGAUGAACACUAGGUGUCGGGGGAAUCGACCCCUUCGGUGUCGUAGCUAACGCGUUAAGUGUUCCGCCUGGGGAGUACGCACGCAAGUGUGACCAAAAGAGAAUGCG